rnacentral:rRNA from 1 species
UACAGAGGUCUCAAGCGUUGUUCGGAUUCAUUGGGCGUAAAGGGUGCGUAGGCGGUCUGUCGCGUCGGCUGUGAAAACUCGGGGCUCAACUCCGAGCUUGCAGUCGAUACGGGCAGGCUAGAGUUCGGCAGGGGGAGACUGGAAUUCCUGGUGUGCGGUGAAAUGCGCAGAUAUCAGGAGGAACACCGGUGGCGAAGGCGGGUCUCUGGGCCGAUACUGACGCUGAGGAGCGAAAGCGUGGGGAGCGAACAGG